GGCUAGGGGGUUAGGGUUUGAGGUUAGGGAUUAGGGUUAGGGGAUUAGGGUAGGGCUAGGGGGUUAGGGUUUGAGGUUAGGGGAUAAGGUAGGGCUAGGGGGUUAGGGUUAAGGUUGUUAGUGUUAGGGUUGUUAGGGUUUGGGGCUAGGGGGUUAGGGUUAAGGUUAAUAGUUGGGUUAAUUAUUAGGGUUGUUAGGGUUAGGGUUGAGUUUGCUGUUAUGGUUUAGGGUUGGGGGUUUAGUGUUAGGGUUAGAGAGAAGAAAUGAAAGCAAAAAAGAUGGUGUGAAUUUGAGUAAGUAGGAGGAGUUUGGGGGAAAGGGAGGAAUGAGAAUGAGAUAAAUAUAGUAUUCACAUAUAAAAUUCUCAAAACAAUUUAAUAAAAAAAUCAUGGUGAAAUAUCUCAAAGCUAAUAACCUGGAGAGUAAGGAGAGUUAUUACCACACACAUUAAUAAAAUUUAGAAAAAUUGCUAGGUCUUACCUUAAAAAUCAAAUAUUCCAAUUGUACUGGCUACUUUUGUGUGUCAACUUGACACAGGCUGGAGUUAUCACAAAGAAAGGAGCUUCAGCUGGGGAAAUGCCUCCACGAGAUCCAGCUGUAGGGCAUUUUCUCAAUUAGUGAUCAAGAGGGGAGAUCCCCUUGUGGGUGGUGCCAUCUCUG
rnacentral:lncRNA from 1 species